UACGUAGGGUGCGAGCGUUAAUCGGAAUUACUGGGCGUAAAGCGUGCGCAGGCGGUUAUGUAAGACAGAGGUGAAAUCCCCGGGGUCAACCUGGGAACUGCCUUUGUGACUGCAUGACUAGAGUACGGCAGGGGGGGAUGGAACUCCGCGUGUAGCAGUGAAAUGCGUAGAUAUGCGGAGGAAAACCGAUGGCGAAGGCAAUCCCCUGGGCCUGUACUGACGCUCAUGCACGAAAGCGUGGGGAGCAAACAGG
rnacentral:rRNA from 1 species